rnacentral:rRNA from 1 species
CUGGCUCGAUACUGACACUGAGUGCGAAAGCGUGGGGAGCAAACGGGAUUAGAUACCCCGGUAGUCCACGCCGUAAACGAUGUCUACUAGCCGUUGGAGGACUUGAUCCUUUAGUGGCGCAGCUAACGCGAUAAGUAGACCGCCUGGGGAGUACGGUCGCAAGAUUAAAACUCAAAUGAAUUGACGGGGGCCCGCACAAGCGGUGGAGCAUGUGGUUUAAUUCGAAGCAACGCGAAGAACCUUACCUACUCUUGACAUCCAGUGAACUUUUGAGAGAUCAAUUGGUGCCUUCGGGAACACUGAGACAGGUGCUGCAUGGCUGUCGUCAGCUCGUGUUGUGAAAUGUUGGGUUAAGUCCCGUAACGAGCGCAACCCUUGUCCUUAGUUACCAUCAUUAAGUUGGGGACUCUAAGGAGACUGCCGGUGACAAACCGGAGGAAGGCGGGGACGACGUCAAGUCAUCAUGGCCCUUACGAGUAGGGCUACACACGUGCUACAAUGGCAUGUACAAAGGGUUGCCAAGCCGCGAGGUGGAGCUAAUCCCAUAAAGCAUGUCGUAGUCCGGAUUGGAGUCUGCAACUCGACUCCAUGAAGUCGGAAUCGCUAGUAAUCGUGAAUCAGAAUGUCACGGUGAAUACGUUCCCGGGCCUUGUACACACCGCCCGUCACACCAUGGGAGUGGGUUGCUCCAGAAGUAGAUAGCUUAACCUUCGGGAGGGCGUUUACCACGGAGCGAUUCAUGACUGGGGUGAAGUCGUAACAAGGUAACCGUA